rnacentral:lncRNA from 1 species
UAUAGCGUAAAAGCUAAAUAAAUUUAUACAUACUGAAAUACAGUAAGCCAAAAUAUUUAAUUUAAUUUACAAUAACAAGAGGGCCCCCGAAUAAACAAAAGUAAAGAGGACUGUGAACCUACGGUUUGGAAAAUGCAGAUCCAAUGGUAGUCCUCGAUGAGAUCAGCUAUCUACAGUCUAUACUGAACCUGAAAUGGGUGGAAAGGAGUUGGGUGAGAUUUUGCAAUCCCAAUGAGUAAACAGACAUUAUCAUAAAUAUCUAAAGGCGAGUAAAAUGGAGGCAAGUUUAAACAACAAAUUUCAACCCAUUUCAUAAUGUUUUCAAUUUAUUUCUUAAACCAUAAAAUAUUUGUAAUUUACCAAAACAGUUGUUAAGGCUUAUGUCUUUUAUUAAAACAAGGCUCAAGCCAAAACUAAUCCUCGGGGAUACCUUGGCCGAGGCAUCUAACCGAGUCCGCCAAGGGUGUUAAAAUAUUCACACGUGAAACACAUUUUUAUUUUUAAAACCAGCCGUUCCUUGGCGUUGGCCGAGUUACACAUUCACGUGGGGGUUCGACGUGAAGUGAGCUCUAAUACUACCCCGGGAGUUACCCUCCUCGCCUCUACAACCGGAGUAACUAUAUAACUGGGUUUACCGUGCCCCUCUAAUAGGCAGUCCACGGAAACCCGUCACUGCAGUGACUAACCCACCAAUUUUAAUAAAAUUUCGACAGUAUAACGUGGCUUUUAUUUAUUUAUCCAGCCUGCAUAGUAAAAACAACUUACAUAAAUUUCCCAAUGCACUCACAAAAUAUAGCCACAUAUACUCAUUUCUCAUAAGCCAUUCCUAGGAAAAUAUAUAUUUUUCAAGUCAAUUUGCAGCCUCCAAUUACUCAAUUUCAUAAUCAAUACAAUAUAUUUUUAUUUGUCACAUUUAUUCCUAAAACAUCAAAAAUCCCGUUUUAAUCUCGUUUUCAUUUCAUAAAAUACAUAAAGGGCAUUUAAAAAUAAACUCUAGAUAAUUUACAAUAAUAAUAAGUUUACUCACCGUUUGUACAAACUAAAAGCUUUCUAAGCGCCCCGAUCACUACUCGUCGGGUACGACUUCUUUGCCUUUUCCGGAAGGCUCUCCUCCUAGACACAUUACAAAAAUUUACACAAUUCAUCACAUUGAUGCUAAAUCACUAUAUAAUUAACUUAAAUCCUAUACUAAUGCAUGGUAUGAAAUGCAAUAGCCUAAAACGGCUUAAACGCGGUAUUAACCUAUUUUUGGCACUUUGCCCGAUAAAUUGCUAACGCGCUCCAUUUUAGCUCUAAAUCAUCCCAUUCUCUCUCCAACAUUUCUAACCAUUAAAUAUCAGCCAAUAACCUUCUAAAAACAACAAAAUCAGCUCACUCCCUUCCUUGGAAAAUUCGGCCAAAAAUGGGACAUUAACUCGGUUAAUUUUCUACUUUGUUUUUCUAUCACGUUUAAUCGUUUUUCAUCAUUUUCUCUUCAUUUUCCUUAGAAUAAAAUCAAUUCAUCAUCAUUGUACAGCAUUGAGCAUCCAGCCAAGAGUGGGUAUUGUGAAAAUUUAAUGAUUUCUUGCCCAAUUUAAUUUCUAAACACAUUUAACUAACUAAAACUAUCAAUUUAACUAAAAAUCAAAACCUAAAAAUUUCAAUUUCUCUCCCCUAGAAUUUCGUCCAGCCCUUGAUAUCACUUUUUGAUCUCUCUCCUCAAGCAUGCUAAAUGGAAAUAAAGGCAUAGGAAAGGUAGAAAUCAAGCUAAAAUCGAAAAAUCUUACCGUUAGACGCGUAAACGGUCGAAAACCGCGAAUUUCCCUUUGAAUUUUCUUGUUUCUCUUUGGUUUUUCUUUUUUUCUUCCUUUCCUCUCUAUUUCCUCUCUUGUUCUUCCUUAUGGCCGGCCAGCACUCAAAAUUUGGGUUUAAAUGGCUGACUUUUCAUUAAAAUAAUAUUAUUUCAUUAAAAAAUGCCACAUGUCACUUUCCCAUUGGCCCAUUUUUAAAAUUUCAUCCAUUUGUUUCCAAAUUUUCACCAUACACUUGUCUCAUAUAUUCAUAGCUUAGAUAAAAUUCUCAGACUCAUCCAAAGUCUCGGUGGAGUAAUUUUUGAAAUUUACACUUUUGCCCCCGUAAAAGUCAAAAAUUACAUUUUUGCCCCAAAAAUUGAAAAAUUGCCCAUAGACAUAUUUUUCAUCCCUUAUACUCAUACCAUUCUCCAAUUUGUCAAAUUUGAUCUAAAUUCUCUCAAAAUCUCAAAUUUUGUCCGUGGGUGGCAAAAUUACGAUUUUACCCUUACACUCCAAAAAUCACCAGAAUUAAACUUUUUCACUUCCUAUCAUUAAAUUAUACUCCAAAUAGUUAAUCUUGGUCAAAAAUUUCACUCCAUGAUCAAAUUAUUAUCUUAAUUGGUAAAAUGACGAUUUUGCCCUUGAAUAUCAAAAUUUCCAAUUUUACCCCAAAUGAACCCUCGAACUCCGAACAAUCAUUUUUAGUCAUUCCUGGACUAUAAAAUAUUAAAUUUCAUCCUACAAUUCCUAUUUGAACUAGUUCGAGGUUAAAUCAACUCAAGUGUACCGUUAGGUACGAUAUCGGGUUUCGUCUUUUCUUAGGUGCUUUUCUAGCAUAAUAACAUGUUACUCAGUGCAUGUAUGUCAUGACAUGUAUUUAUAGGGUCGGGUUUUACAUAAAAAAUUUGCAAAUAUAUCAUAUUUGCAACAUAAGGUAAUAGUAACUCCACACAAUGAUAUAAUCAUCCUUAUCAACGAAUUCAUGCUUUCCGAACUACCUGCUGACAUCAAAACUUACUUGAGCUAUGACACAAUAUUAAAGAAUUUGCCUAGUAGCAGAGAUGAAGAUUUCUUGUAUCCGAUUGAGUUUCUCAAUUAUCUAUAUUUUAAUGGGAUCUUGAACCAUAAACUUCAACUAAAAGUUGAUGCUACAAUCUUGUUAUUAAGGAACAUAAACUAAAGCUUGGGAUUAUGCAAUGGCACUAGAUUGAUGGUGACUCAUUUAGUGUCCUGUGUGACCCAAGUUGAGAUCAUCACUGGAAACCAUAUAAGUGAAAAAGCAUUUGUUCCUAGAAUAAACAUGACAGUGAAAAAUUCAAAGUGGCCACUUGUUUUGACUAGAAAACAAUUUUUGAUCAGAUUGUGUUAUGGGAUGACAAUAAAUAAGAGUAAAGGACAAACACUUGACAUAGUUGGAUUGUGUCGAUUUUCACUCAUGACUAGUUAUAAAAGAGUAACAAGUAGGCAAGGAUUAAAAGUAUUAAUCCAAUAUGAAAAUGAUUCUGAUAUAGGAACUACUAAAAACAUUAUUUAUAAAGAAAUUUUACAUGCUUUACAUUAGAUAUAUUCCAUUCGUUGUUGAUACUAUUAUAUUUUGGGGUUUCCUAUUGUAUCCUAUCUAUAAUAAAAAUGUGUGUGUCGAUUAACUUCAUGCAAAUUAUUAUGAAUUAUUGUAUCGUACAAGAUUUUUGUAUGAAUGUAUAUCUUCUUUGUAAAUUUUAGUAGAUGUUUACGAUCUUGAUUGUCUCAACUAUUACUAUGCAUUUUCAAAACUUCUGUCAAUUGAUUCUUCUUUAAUUACUAUUUCAACAUUUAACACUAGGUGCUUUUCUUCAUUUUACAAAAUUUUGGCUACUAUCUCAUAAUACUUUUGUUUAUAUUUAUUUUCUAUUAAUAUAUCUAAGGUCAUGAUAAUUUUUUUACUACCCAAAUUAUCUAAACUUAUUAUCACAUGGUUUCACAAGAAAUCAUGUCAUACCAACCUCUGUACGACUUAUAAAUUAAAAAAGAAGGAAGCACAAUUCAAAUAUGUGUUGCACUCAUUUGGCAUAGCAUCAACUACAAACAGGUAAAUGACAUUAUCAGCCUUGAUUUCCUUGCCACCGAUAAUAAGGUUCGUCAAUGUUUCAUAAUGCUAUGAUCUUAAAACUGUGAUGUUCUAAAUCUUAUGAACAAAUUAAUAAUCUCUUUUUGCAUCCAGGGCAAUGCGAUUCGAGCUGUCAUCCAUAAAACACACAUGAAAGAAUUUGAAUCCAUGCCAAAAGAAGGACACAUUAACUGCAUCUCUUAUUUCAAGGUGUCUAAACAAAAAAAAAGCUACAAUGUAAUUUCAGCUGCUUGUCCCAUCACAAUCACUCUAAAAAUGAACAUUGUCAAGGCAUCAUCAUUUGCUUUAUCAUUUCAACGCCACUACUUCCAUUUUGUGAAAUUUAAACAUCUGCCACACAAAUAUAAGUUUAACGAAAUUCUCACUGGUCUGUUAAAAUCUUUUUCUUAUCUAUUUAAAAUUGUCACUUCUUUACAAAUUUUUACAUAAAAGUGUAAUUCAAUUAAAAUAUUUAGACAAAGCAUUCAAAUUAGCAUUAAAAUUUUCAGGCCAUUACUUUAUUAUGAAGUACGUGUUGGAACAGAAUAAGGUAGCCUUUACCCAAUUAAUUGGUGUGAAUAUUCUUCAAAAUGCUGCAUCUUUUUUCAUUGCUUCGUGCCUUGUAUGUCACGACCCAGAACUCCCAUCGAGCCCGUGACAACCUCCGCGACGUCUCGAUCGACAUUCAUUACCUGGAAUGUCAACCGGAACCCCGCAAGGCUUUAAUAUCAACUUCUCAUAUCCCAUGUGGGUAACUGUUUCCAAAUACCACAUUCUAAAACAUUUUAAACUGUUUCCAACUUAAACAAAUAAAAUAAUAAUUUCCGUCUCACAUGAGUAUUUUGAUCAUUUAUCCCAAAAAUCUCAAAAUCAUCUAAAAAUAUAGUAUGUAAGUGGAAAACACAUAUUUCAUAAUCAAAAAUAAUUUUGGAUGUCUAAAACAUUCGUUUAAAAUGGAAUUAUGACUGUCAUAAUAAAAUAAAAAUAUUAAAUAAAAUAUUUAAUUUUCACAUAAAACGAUAUUUUAAGAACACUGCAUAAAUAAUUUUUAUAGCGUAAAGGUAAAAUAAAUUCUUACAUACCGUAAUACAGAUAACCAAAGUAUAAAAUUUAAUUUACAGUGACACAUGGGCCCACGAAUGACCAAAAGUAUCAAAAGAAAUGAACCUACAGUCUUUGGAUGUGGCAAGUUCAACUGUAAUCCUCGCUGAUAUCAGUUAUCUACAAUCUAUUCUGAGCCUGAAAUGGGUGGAAAUGAGGGUGAUGAGAUUAUAAAAUCCCAGUGAGUAAACAAACAUCACUCAAAAUAUCUAAAGUCGAGUAAAAGGAGACUUUUAAAACAUUUCAUCAAACUGUAAUUUAUCAUCUUUCAACUUAUUUCAACCAAAUGAAAUCAAUUUAUUUAAAGCAAGUAAUCAGUAUGGCUUAUGAAUUUCUUAAAAAGCUUGGCUCAUGCCAAAAAUUAUUAUCAUACUCAGUUAUCUAGGAUACCUUGGCCGAGGGCUAUCCCAACUGAGUCCUCCAAGGCUAUUAGAAAGUCGUGUUUUUAUUUUGAAAACAUAGCCGUUCCUUGGCGUUGGCUGAGUUUCCCUUCACGUGGUGGUUUGGCGUGAAGUGAACUUUAAAGUUAUACCUCGGGAGUUACCCUACUCACCUCUCCAAUCGAGGUAAAAAUAUAACAGGAUUAUGUGCCCCUCUAAUAGGCUAGUCCACAGAACCCAGCCCACUGCAGCAGGUCAAACCCACCAUACAAUAAAAUUUUGACAGCAUGACAAGGCUAAUAUAUUACUACCCAGCCUGCAAGGGUAAAAUAAAGCAAUUCAUACAAUUCAUAAAAAACACAGCCCAACCAGUCAUGCCAAUACAAUAACAUAAGCCAUUAAUUCAAUUUUAAAUUUACAACAUAUCAGUGGUCUCCAAUUACUUUAUUUUCAAAAUCGUUAUUUCGUUUCAAGACAAUUUAUAAAAUAUUUUCAUUUAAACUCAUUUUGUUUACAAAACAUAAAAAUUUACCAUUUGAACUCAUUUUCAUAAAAUUCACCAAAACCGACUAAAAACAUACUUUAGAUAAUUAAAAUGAUGGUAAGGUUACUCACCGUGUCUAUAGUGGAGAUUUUCGAAAUACUUAGACUAUUGAUCCUCGGGUGCAAUUCCCUUGCCUUUAUCAGAGGACUCACCACCUUAACACAGUACAAAAUCGAGAAAUUCACCACAUUGGUACUAAAUUGAAAUUAAACUAAUUUAGACUACUAAUGCUUGAUAUGGAAUGCAAAAAUGUCUAAAUUUUUGCCUAAACGCAAUGUUAGCUUAUUUCGAUCUUUUACCCGAUAAAUCGAUAUACGUGUCCGUUUAAACUCUAAAUUAAUUUUUUCAUUUUCUAUACCUCAAUUGCACCCAAAUUGACUUAAUGUCCCUCAGUGUGGUGCAAAUUAUCAGUCCCGAUAGCAAAUUACGAAAAUACCCCUAGUGGGUAAAAAUUUAAUUUUUACUCCGAAAAUUCCUAUUAUUUUUCUAGGCUCAUAAUUCAUCAUAAUUCAUCAUAAUUCCUUAAAUAAACAUCAAGAUCAGCUGCCAAUAUUCUCCUAGAAAAUUUGGCAUAAUGGGUUUCAAUGUGAGAAAAUUAUAUCUAUAGCUUAUUUUUGCUAUAUUUCAAUAUAACUUAACUAACAUCACUUAAUUCAACUAUAAUCAACCAAAAAUCAAGCUCAAAACUCAUCCAUGGAGGUUUGGCCAGCAUGGGUGUCCAUACCCACUUUCUAAUUUUGCAUGAAAAUGAGAAAAAAAUGCAUGGGUAGUGAAAAUCACAAGGAAAAUCAAUGAAAUUUACCUUUUCAAUGCUUGAUUUCUUGAUUUCUCUUGAUUUUCCCCAAAUUUUCAGGUAGGGUUCUUAUUUGUUUUUUUCCCCCUUUUCUCCCCUGGUUUGGACAGCUGAAGAAGAUGAGAAUUCUGGAAUUUUUACCUUUUUAAAGGCUAAAAUAAUAUAAUAUUAUUUUAUUCAUUUUUUUAAUGUUUUAUUAAUUCCUUAAAUUCUAGCCAUCCAUUUGUUUCCAAAUUUUCACCAUACACUUGUCCCACAUAUCCAUAGCUUAGAUAAAAUUAUCAGAAUUAUCCAAAGUCUUGGUGGAGUAAUUUUUAAAAUUUACACUUUUGCCUCCGUAAAAGUCAAAAAUUACAUUUUUACCCCAAAAACUGAAAAAUUGCCCAUAGACAUAUUUUUCAUCCCUUAUACUCAUACCAUUCUCCAAUUUGUCAAAUUUGAUCUAAAUUCUCUCAAAAUCUCAAAUUUUAUCCGCGGAUGGCAAAAUUACGAUUUUGCCCAUGUACUCUAGAAAUCACUGGAAUUAAACUUUUUCACUGCCAAAUCCUCAAAUUAUACUCCAAUAAGUCAAAUGGGGCCAAAAAAAAAUUUUUCUUUUCUAAAAAUUCCCAUUGUGUCCAUAGGUGGCAAAUGACCAUUUUACCCCUAGACAGUAAAAAUUUUGGUUUGACUCCAAAUUGAUCCUCGAACUCCAAAUCACCAUAUUAAACCAUUCUGAGACUUUAAUAUUCUUAAUUUCAUUUUAAAUUCUCUAUUUGAUCUAGUUCGAUGCUUAAAUUAACUUAAUUGUACCAUUUGGUACAUUAUCGUCUUUUAACGAUUUUUCUUUCGGGGCUUUCCAAGUAUGCAAGCAUAUUGUCAAUCAUAUGAAUGACAUGGAAAGUAUUUUAUAAGUUGGGGCUUGACAUUGUAGAUAUGUGGAUAUUGCAUAACUUUUUUUUUUAAUUAGUUCACUAUCACAUUUUUCUUUUUUAAUUAACAAUGAUGUUAAAUGUGAUGAUUAGCACAUACUUUAAUGAAUUUUUUCUCUAAUAAAGGUAGUAGUAUGCAUUGGAUUUUGAAACACUUAGCUUUUUUGCAUAUUAAGGGAACCAUAAGGCUUUGUAUUGUUAUUUAAAUAGCGGAGAGACUAAAUAUAUUCCACUUAUAUAUAAAUUUAUUACAACACCACCAACAACCAUGCUUUAAAUGCUGCCACUUUGCAAUUAAAACCCUUAAACUUGCACCAUCUGUAUUAAUCUUUUAAGAUGAUUUGGAUUGGUGGUGGCUCACUCCAACCUACAGAACUCGAUUCCUCUUAUUCAAUGGUCAUGAUAAAACCAGCUGAGUGUAUGUAAAAAUUUGCAAUUUAAUAGGUAAUAUUCAUCUUAAAGAAUGUUGAAACAAUUCUGUUUUAUAAGAUAAGGAAAGAAAAAGGGAGUUUUUUUUAAUGCCAUUUGUAUAAUUUUUUGUCAUAACCCUUUGUGAAUUUUCUCCUUCAAGUAAUAUGGUUUAAAGCAAUGAAAUUCUCAAACAGAGUUGGAACUCAAAUUUCUGAAGCAAGCUGUACUUGAUAUAUUAUCAUUCUCUAAUAAUUUGAUUUUUACUUUCAUAAAAUGGUAUAAUUACUCAAAUUUCAUAAAAUGCUAUAUUUUGAAAUUUGUUCCUUCAUUUUUGCAUUUCUUUUGGAUGAUUUUCUUCUUUUCAAGCAUCAUUGAUAUAUUUUGGAUUUCUUUCUUCUUAACUAUUGAAUCCUCUUGAAAGUUAACUCACCCAAUUACUAUGACACUAUCCAACUUAGUAAUUCUAUGUAAAUUCUUAGUAACUUAUUCAUUGUUAAAUGCAGAUGUCAUUAGUCAAGUCAUUUCAAUGAGCAAAGUUAUUGUCAUAUACGUCAACAACAAGUCAACUAAAGUUUUUAAAUGGAACUUCCAACUGCAGAACAUCACGUUUGCUGCAUUUAUCAUUACAUGAUGCAAUUACUAAAGAUACAAAACCUUUUCUCUUGAAACUAUUUUUUUGAUGUAACAAUGAUUGACAUCAAACUAUACUUUCUAAACCAAUAUUACAUUUCUGUAAAUGAUUAAUGUAAGUUGACUAUUUGAUAUUCCUUCCCUUUUUAUCAAGAGGCACAAUAAUUAAUAUGACCCUCUGGAGAGAUCUUGCAUACUGUGUUGAUGAUGAUAUUAUAGGACUAAAAAACAAGCCAAUCAUUAUUUUGGUUGCUGUGACCAAGGUAAGUCAAUUAAAUUUUCAACCAUUAUAAUAUCUUCAAUCAUUAUAAUGUUUGAUAUGAACAUAUUCGCAAUCUAAUCCAUUCUAUGCAUAAAUUUAUAAGACAACCAUCAGUUGCUUCAUGCUUUGCAUCCAAAGUUUAUGUUGACUUAAAUCUUCCAAUUAUGGUAGACAUGAAAGCUAGGUAAACAUUGAAUAGAAUUUAUGAUCUAUAAUGUUUUUUUUUUCAUUUGCUGUUGUUUCUUUAACCACCAUGCAUUAGCAUUGAACUUAUUAUUUCUUGCUUUCAUGUUCAAUUCAUAUUCAAAUUUGCUGCUUCGUGUUGCUGCUUAAGGUCCGCCAAUGACCAUAAAUACCACCUGAUCAACACGAAAAUCAUAAUCAUGUGACGAUUAAGCAAUUGUUGCAAAUUGACCACUCCCAAUCACAAGUAACGAUAUCUUUGAAUAAUUAAUUAUGAAAACAUAAAUUAUAUUCAUUCUAUUUUUCAUCAUCACUUAGUUUAUAUUUGAACAUCUCAUUAUAGAUAGAGACGUACACUUGCAUUGUAAAAAUCAAAGAAUUUGAGUGCACAGAAUGAUUGUCACAACCCGGUACUCCCCUCUAGCCCGUGACAACCGUCGCGGUGUCCCGGUAGACACUCAUUGUCCGAAAUGUCAACCCGAAACCUCGCAAGGCUUUACUGUUAGUUUCUCAUUUCCCUUGUGAGCAACCAUUAUCAAAUAUCGUGUUCUAAAAGAUUUUAAACUGUUUCCAACUAAAAACAAAUAAAAUAUUAAUUUUCGUCUCACAAGGGAAUUUUGGUCAUUUUUCUCAAAAAUUUCGAAACUGGCUAAAACGUAAUAUACAAAUACAAAACACAUAAUUCAUAUUCAAAAUGAGUUUAAAAGUCUAAAAUCUUCAUUUAAAAUGAAAUUAUGGUUAUUUGAAUAUAAUAAGAAAAUAAAAGAAAUAUUAAGUAAAAUAUUCUAUUUUCUUAUAAAAUAAUAUUUAUAGAGUUUUACGUGAAUAAUUUUUAUAGCGUAAAAGCUAAUAAAUUUAUACAUACUGUAAUACAGUGAGCCAAAAUAUUUAAUUUAAUUUACAAUAACAAGAAGGCCCCCGAAUAAACAAAAGUAAAGAGGACUGUGAACCUACGGUUUGAAAAAUGCAGAUCCAACGGUAGUCCUCGAUGAGAUAAGCUAUCUACAGUCUAUAUUGAACCUGAAAUGGGUGGAAAAGAGGGUGGUGAGAUUAUAAAAUCCCAAUGAGUAAACAAACAUCAUCAUAAACAUCUAGAGUUGAGUACAUGGAGACAAUAAAGUAAAUCAUCGUAAACUGG